rnacentral:rRNA from 1 species
CCUACGGGAGGCAGCAGUGGGGAAUAUUGCACAAUGGGGGAAACCCUGAUGCAGCGACGCCGCGUGAGUGAUGAAGUAUUUCGGUAUGUAAAGCUCUAUCAGCAGGGAAGAAAAUGACGGUAACUGACUAAGAAUCUCCUGCUAAAUACGUGCCAGCAGCCGCGGUAAUACGUAUGGAGCAAGCGUUAUCAGGAUUUACUGGGUGUAAAGGGAGCGCAGACGGCAGGUCCAGUCUGAUGCGAAAGUCCUGGGCUCAACCCCGGUACUCCAUUGGAAACUGUCCGGCUAGAGUGCAGGAGAGUUAAGUGGAAUUCCUAGUGUAGCGGUGAAAUGCGUAGAUAUUAGGUGGAACCCCAGUGGCGAAGGCGGCUUACUGGACUGUAACUGACGUUGAGGCUCGAAAGCGUGGGGCGCAAACAGGAUUAGAUACCCUUGUAGUC